rnacentral:rRNA from 1 species
UACGGGGGGGGCAAGCGUUGUUCGGAAUUACUGGGCGUAAAGGGUUCGUAGGCGGCCUACUAAGUCAGACGUGAAAUCCCUCAGCUUAACUGGGGAACUGCGUCUGAGACUGGAUGGCUUGAGUGCAGGAGAGGAACGCGGAAUUCCAGGUGUAGCGGUGAAAUGCGUAGAUAUCUGGAGGAAUACCGGUGGCGAAGGCGGCAUCCUGGACCGGCAUUGACGCUGAGGCGCGAAAGCCAGGGGAGCAAACGGG